UACGUAGGGUGCAAGCGUUAAUCGGAAUUACUGGGCGUAAAGCGAGCGCAGGCGGUUAUGUAAGACAGAUGUGAAAUCCCCGGGCUUAACCUGGGAACUGCAUUUGUGACUGCAUAGCUAGAGUGUGUCAGAGGGGGGUGGAAUUCCACGUGUAGCAGUGAAAUGCGUAGAGAUGUGGAGGAACACCGAUGGCGAAGGCAGCCCCCUGGGAUAACACUGACGCUCAUGCUCGAAAGCGUGGGGAGCAAACAGG
rnacentral:rRNA from 1 species